rnacentral:rRNA from 1 species
AAAACGACUCUCGGCAACGGAUAUCUCGGCUCUCGCAUCGAUGAARAACGUARCAAACUGCGAUACUUGGUGUGAAUUGCARAAUCCCGUGAACCAUCGAGUCUUUGAACGCAAGUUGCGCCCGAAGCCAUUUGGCNCGAGGGCACGUCUGCCUGGGCGUCUAGU